rnacentral:pre_miRNA from 1 species
UUUAAGUGUAACUAUAAGUUUCCAUGCCAACUUUGAUCAUCCGUCUUAUUUGAAAAUUUUUUAUAAUUAAUAUUUUUAUUGUUAUGAGAUGAUAAAACAUGAAUAGUACUUUAUACGUGACUUAUGUAUUUUGCACGAAAAAUCAUGGCUGCAUUUAAA